UGCACAAUCCCCCUUAAUGAACUGAUUAGUUUGUUGGCUUCCGAAAACGGAAAGUGAAAGGCCAGCAACACCAGCACCGGCAAACACCUGAACACAGGUAAGUUUUUAAAACGUAAGACCAGACAAAAAGAAACCAAAAGACAGCUAUAUGUUUGCUUGUUAAGUACAGCACAAAUUAUUGUCAGGGGGGUGAAAGUGGAGUGGAAAUGUUUGCAUGUGUGAAAGACUGGUAUGCUAGUCGGCUAUCUUGUUCUGGGCCCCAGGCCGAUGUGGAACCUUAAAUUAGUAGGGUUGCAAAGAGAGAUACCAUCUGGUCAUUGAAGAGUUGGGAUCCUGCAUGGUGUGGAUCCAUCUCAGGGCUCGGUAAUCUGUCUCUAGAAUGAACUUCCUUCCCAGCAGGUAGUACCUGAGGAACUCCAACACCCACUUGAUCACCAGGCACUCCUUCUCCACUGUUGAUUAUCAGGUCUCUCUUGGCAGUAACUUUCUGCUCAAGAAUGCAAUGGCCCUUUCUUCGCCUGCAUCUUCCUGGGCCAGGACUGCUCCGAUUCCCACAGACAAAGCAAUCACCAGCACAAUGAAUCCUUUUGAAAAAUAAGGAUAUUUGAGGACUGAAUAAGAACAUAUUUGUCCAUGUUAAAGGCCCUCUCACACUCCUCAGUCCAGCAAAUUGGGUUUUUGCAGAGCAGAAUGGUCAGGGAGAUAGCAUGAUAGAAAAGUUCAGAAUGAAUCGUCGACACCAUCCUACCAGCCCCAAGAAAGACCGAACCUCUUUUUUUGUUUGUGGUCUUGGACUGUGUCAAAUGGCUUCUACCUUGCAAACUUGAGGUUGCAACUCCCCAUUUCCUAGGUGGUAUCAAAGGUAGUCGGUCUCAGCCUUUGCCCAUUCACAUUUUGCCACAUUUAAAGUCAGGUCAGCCUCUUGGAUCUUACUCAGGGUCUUUUUUCAGGUGUUAAAGAUGGUCCUUCUGAGUCUGACUGUAGAUGACAAUUCCAUCCAGGUACACGGCUGACCAUUCUUCACAGCCUCGAAGAACUUGGUCCAUCAGGUAUUGGAAGAUUGCAGGUGCCCCAUGUAGACCGAAUGCUCCAUCUCGCAGACGUUUUGGGACAUCUAUUAGGAGCAGUCCUUUCAGACAUUAUCGUCAGUUUCAACUCUUCUCCCUCACCACUAAGGUUGCCCGUUUUAUUGAACACCUCUCUACCCCAACUAUUCCAGAGAACCCGUCUGCUUCCUCGCAUCGUGCAGCGUACCUUUUCGCGUGAUAUGGGUACACAGACCUCUUCUGACCUCCCUGCUGUUGAAAACUUUGAUGACAACUCCCACAUUUCUGCAACAAACCAACCAUCUCCUCCUUACCCUUCAUGUUGGUCUCCUACUGAUUAUCCUCCUACUUCCCUGUUCCUUCACCUGAUUAUUAUUAUCUUCCCAUAACUUCACCUAAGUCUGACCCCGAUUGCUCAUCUAUGUCUUCUUCAGUGGCUGAGGCCCACAAGCUCUUUUUUCUUAAUAAACAUGAUUAAGUCUG